GGCUCAGUGGUCUAGGGGUGUGAUUCUCGUUUGGGUGCGAGAGGUUCCGGGUUCAAAUCCCGGUUGAGCUC
rnacentral:tRNA from 1 species